UGACAUUGGAACAGUUAACUCUCGCUUCUCUCUCAACCCUCCUUUCAUUAUCUCUCUCCAACAGAGGGCAUAGCAUUUACCAUUAGAUACGGUGGCGACGCACCCCUUUGAGAUGUAGAUGCAGCGCUUGCGCAUCUGGGAAAAUGUCGGGAUUGUCAUGUAACGAGGAAUCGGGAAAGAAAAGGAAGAAGAAGCAAACGGGGAUGGAAGAUCAGCAGUCCAAGAACAGAAAAAGAAGGAGGCAACCAAUUUAACUGAAUUUCGAAUUUGGAAACGACAGCGUUUUAUUCAAGUGAAAACAACCCCAUUUUGCUUUAGUUUUAUUGAAUAAAUUGUAAUAGGAAUCAAGAAUAUUUUUUCCUGUUAAGCGGUGAAAGUAUGACUUUAAUUUGUUGUUGGAAUUGAGGCUAUAAUAGCCCAUGUGCGUAGUGGAGAGGAGUGUAUUGUUUUACCAGAUUUUCAGUGAAAUUGUGAUUGAAUCAACAACUUUUCUCCCUUCUCUCUUGUUCGUUUUACAUCAUUUAUCUUAUCUCCUUUCCAUUUUUCUUUUACUUGGUUACCAUUUCAG
rnacentral:lncRNA from 1 species